UACGUAGGUGGCGAGCGUUGUCCGGAAUUACUGGGUGUAAAGCGCGUGUAGGCGGGAGGCCAAGUCUGCGGUGAAAUCGCUCGGCUCAACUGGGCGGGGUCCGUGGAAACUGGUCACCUGGAGGACGGUAGAGGCGAGUGGAAUUCCCGGUGUAGUGGUGAAAUGCGUAGAGAUCGGGAGGAACACCAGUGGCGAAGGCGGCUCGCUGGGCCGGACCUGACGCUGAGACGCGAAAGCGUGGGGAGCAAACAGGG
rnacentral:rRNA from 1 species